GAUGCCACUGUAAGUAGUAUCCCUAUUACAGCGCCCCCAGAGGGAGGUAAGGAUUCAGGCAAAUCGACAGGCAACGAAGACCCUAUUACUGGAAAAAGAUACGCUCUGACAUACUUAUAUCCCGUCAUGAUAGUGGCGCUUGGACUUGGGGUACCAACCCUUACUGCAUGCUACUACCUUUGUCGAAAGCGAACACCCGCAGAGAUACAGGAGCAGCGAUUAAUCGAAGACAGGAA